GGAAUAUGGUAAGUUGCAUCUAUUUGAAGGACAUUCUUUUCUUUUGAGGGGUUGUCUAAUUAGUAAUAUUAAGUAUGAUUGGAACUUAUGCCCUGUUAGACUCUUUAAGAGCAUAUCUUAAACAUGUUAGCUAGGUUACAUUUUUGUGUUUUCUUGUGGAUCCCGAUACGUUCUUGUCCAUCAUAACAGUAAAAUUAGUAGCUUUCCUUCUCUCCCUAU
rnacentral:misc_RNA from 1 species